UACUCUGGAAAAUCUUGCUUACCCUCCCCCUUCCCCCCCCAGCCGCAUAUAUAUCAGGCUGGGGGGUUUUUCCGGGGAUUGGUCAUCGUGUGGCGCGAUGGGGUUGCCACUGACAUGGUCGUUACAGGGCGUCGUGGGGCAGCGCUGGGUACGGCUAUGGCAGGGCGUAGUGGAGCUCCGCUUUGUACGGCUGUUACAGGGGAUCGUGGGACAGCGCCG
rnacentral:lncRNA from 1 species